rnacentral:other from 1 species
AUUCACCUGGGAUGUGCGACACUCCUGCAUUUUUGAACCUACAUUUAUUUACAGGGAUUCCUACAUCGCCGCGCUAAUGUCAGGCCGCCAUAUUGCAGCGGAAGACAGCGGUACGGCUGCGGUUACCCACUUGGCUCCGUUAGGAGUCAAAAAGCAGGAAACGGCAUUUCGGGGAUUAC